rnacentral:pre_miRNA from 1 species
AUAGGAAUUACCUGGGGAUUUUAAUAAAAUGCAAAUUCUGAUUCAAUAGGCCAGGAUGGGAGCAAAGAAUCUACAUUUCUAACAAGAUCCCAAGUGAUGUCAAU